rnacentral:rRNA from 1 species
GACGAACGCUGGCGGCGUGCCUAAUACAUGCAAGUCGUACGCUUCUUUUUCCACCGGAGCUUGCUCCACCGGAAAAAGAAGAGUGGCGAACGGGUGAGUAACACGUGGGUAACCUGCCCAUCAGAAGGGGAUAACACUUGGAAACAGGUGCUAAUACCGUAUAACAAUCGAAACCGCAUGGUUUUGAUUUGAAAGGCGCUUUCGGGUGUCGCUGAUGGAUGGACCCGCGGUGCAUUAGCUAGUUGGUGAGGUAACGGCUCACCAAGGCCACGAUGCAUAGCCGACCUGAGAGGGUGAUCGGCCACAUUGGGACUGAGACACGGCCCAAACUCCUACGGGAGGCAGCAGUAGGGAAUCUUCGGCAAUGGACGAAAGUCUGACCGAGCAACGCCGCGUGAGUGAAGAAGGUUUUCGGAUCGUAAA